AACGGUCUAUACCUGCGGUACCUGCGGAGGGAUCAUUAUCAAUUUACAGCGGACUUCGGUCCUGUCUGCACCCUUGUCUUUUGCGUACUAUAUGUUUCCUCGGUGGGCUUGCCUGCCGAUAGGACACUUAUAAACUCUUUUGUAAUUGCAAUCAGCGUCAGAAAACUAUAAUAGUUACAACUUUUAACAACGGAUCUCU
rnacentral:misc_RNA from 1 species